CCUACGGGCGGCAGCAGUGAGGAAUAUUGGUCAAUGGCCGGAAGGCUGAACCAGCCAUGCCGCGUGAAGGUCAGUGCCCUAUGGGCGUUAAACUUCUUUUGUGCGGGAGCAAUAAUGGUCACGUGUGGCCAGACGAGAGUACCGUACGAAUAAGUAUCCGCUAACUCCGUGCCAGAAGCCGCGGUAAUACGGGGGGUGCAAUCGUUAUCCGGAAUUAUUGGGUUUAAAGGGUGCGUAGGCUGUGAGGUAAGUCAGCGGUGAAAUGCCCCGGCUCAACGGGGUGAAGUGCCAGUGAUACUGCGUUGCUGGAAUGCGGGUGGCGUGGGAGGAAUGUGUGGUGUAGCAGUGAAAUGCAUAGAUAUC
rnacentral:rRNA from 1 species